rnacentral:rRNA from 1 species
AUUGAACGCUGGCGGCAGGCCUAACACAUGCAAGUCGAACGAGUGGCGGACGGGUGAGUAAUGUCUGGGAAACUGCCUGAUGGAGGGGGAUAACUACUGGAAACGGUAGCUAAUACCGCAUACCAUCGGAUGUGCCCAGAUUGGAUUGUCUAGUAGGUGGGGUAAAGGCCCACCUAGGCGACGAUCCCUAGCUGGGGUGAUAGGAUGACCAGCCACCCUGGAACGUAGACACGGUCCAGACUCCUACGGGAGGAAGCAGUGGGGAAUAUUGGACAAUGGGCGCAAGCCUGAUGCAGCCAUGCCGCGUGUAUGAAGAAGGCCUUCGGGUUGUAAAGUACUUUCAGCGGGGAGGCGUUACCCGCAGAAGAAGCACCGGCUAACUCCGUGCCAGCAGCCGCGGAAAUUC